rnacentral:rRNA from 2 species
GUGGUAAUGCCGGAUGCUCCGACUCCUCGCAUGGGGUGUCGGGAAAGAUUUCAUCGGUAUGGGAUGGGGUCGCGUCCUAUCAGGUAGUCGGCGGGGUAACGGCCCACCGAGCCUACGACGGGUAGCCGGCCUGAGAGGGCGACCGGCCACAUUGGGACUGAGAUACGGCCCAGACUCCUACGGGAGGCAGCAGUGGGGAAUAUUGCACAAUGGGCGCAAGCCUGAUGCAGCGACGCCGCGUGCGGGAUGACGGCCUUCGGGUUGUAAACCGCUUUUGAUCGGGAGCAAGCCUUCGGGUGAGUGUACCUUUCGAAUAAGCACCGGCUAACUACGUGCCAGCAGCCGCGGUAAUACGUAGGGUGCAAGCGUUAUCCGGAAUUAUUGGGCGUAAAGGGCUCGUAGGCGGUUCGUCGCGUCCGGUGUGAAAGUCCAUCGCUUAACGGUGGAUCUGCGCCGGGUACGGGCGGGCUGGAGUGCGGUAGGGGAGACUGGAAUUCCCGGUGUAACGGUGGAAUGUGUAGAUAUCGG